rnacentral:rRNA from 1 species
UGGGGAAUUUUGGACAAUGGGCGCAAGCCUGAUCCAGCCAUGCCGCGUGCGGGAAGAAGGCCUUCGGGUUGUAAACCGCUUUUGUCAGGGAAGAAAUCUUCUGAGUUAAUACCUCGGGAGGAUGACGGUACCUGAAGAAUAAGCACCGGCUAACUACGUGCCAGCAGCCGCGGUAAUACGUAGGGUGCAAGCGUUAAUCGGAAUUACUGGGCGUAAAGCGUGCGCAGGCGGUUUUGUAAGACAGAGGUGAAAUCCCCGGGCUCAACCUGGGAACUGCCUUUGUGACUGCAAGGCUUGAGUGCGGCAGAGGGGGAUGGAAUUCCGCGUGUAGCAGUGAAAUGCGUAGAUAUGCGGAGGAACACCGAUGGCGAAGGCAAUCCCCUGGGCCUGCACUGACGCUCAUGCACGAAAGCGUGGGGAGCAAACAGGAUUAGAUAGCCCUGGUAGUCCACGCCCUAAACGAUGUCAACUGGUUGUUGGGAAGGUUCCUUCUCAGUAACGUAGCUAACGCGUGAAGUUGACCGCCUGGGGAGUACGGCCGCAAGGUUGAAACUCAAAGGAAUUGACGGGGU